UACGUAGGCAGCGAGCGUUGUUCGGAGUUACUGGGCGUAAAGGGUGUGUAGGCGGUUGUUUAAGUUUGGUGUGAAAUCUCCCGGCUCAACUGGGAGGGUGCGCCGAAUACUGAAUGACUUGGAGUGCGGGAGAGGAAAGUGGAAUUCCUGGUGUAGCGGUGAAAAUGCGUAGAUAUUGGGAAGAACACCGGUGGCGAAGGCGGCCAUCUGGACCGAUACUGACGCUGAGGCGCGGAAAGCGUGGGGAGCAAACA
rnacentral:rRNA from 1 species